rnacentral:rRNA from 1 species
AUUGAACGCUGGCGGCAGGCUUAACACAUGCAAGUCGAACGAGUGGCGGACUGGUGAGUAAUGUCUGGGAAACUGCCUGAUGGUGGGGGAUAACUUCUGGAAACGGUAGCUAAUACCGCAUACCAUCAGAUGUGCCCAGAUGGGAUUAGCUAGUUGGUGGGGUAAAGGCUCACCAAGGCGACGCUCCCUAGCUGGUCUGAGAGGAUGACCAGCCACACGUGAACGGAGACACGGUCGAGACACCUACGGGAGGCAGAAGUGGGGAAUAUUGCACAAUGGGCGCAAGCCUGAUGCAGCCAUGCCGCGUGUAUGAAGAAGGCAUUCGGAUUGUAAAGUACUUUAAGCUGGGAGGCGUUACCCGCAGAAGAAGCACCGGCUAACUCCGUGCCAGCAGCCGCGGUAAUAC